rnacentral:rRNA from 1 species
GACAGAGGGUGCAAACGUUGUUCGGAAUUACUGGGCGUAAAGCGUGUGUAGGCGGCCGCGCCAGUCGGAUGUGAAAGCCCUGGGCUCAACUCAGGAAGUGCACCCGAUACUACGUGGCUAGAGUACCGGAGAGGUUGGUAGAAUUCUCGGUGUAGAGGUGAAAUUCGUAGAUAUCGAGAGGAAUACCUGUGGCGAAGGCGGCCAACUGGACGAGUACUGACGCUGAGACACGAAAGCGUGGGGAGCAAACAGG